rnacentral:misc_RNA from 1 species
GCUCAAAACCGGAUUUUAAGAGUGGUAAGUACUUCUUGUGUUCAUUGUUCUGUAUACACACUCAUGCUCUUGUUGCUUUUGGCUAAAUAUAGGUAAUGUGCAUGUCAUCUAUCCUUUCAUAUGCUGCAAAAUAAUCACUUGUUCAAUAUUGCAAUCAAUGAAUUCUUAUCUCUUUGGAACAGGGGUGGAUUCAGUUGGGGGGCAGUGGGGGCAAAUUUCCUUUCAGAAAAUAAUUUUUUGUGUAAAAUUCUAACCUUGCUCCAUAUUUGAAGGCAAGAACAGAUAGUGGAACAGAACA